rnacentral:rRNA from 1 species
GAUGAACGCUGGCGGCGUGCUUAACACAUGCAAGUCGAACGAAGUGGCGAACGGGUGAGUAACGCGUAAUCAACCUGCCCUUCAGAGGGGGACAACAGUUGGAAACGACUGCUAAUACCGCAUACUGAAGGAGGGGCUUGCGUCGGAUUAGCUAGUUGGAGGGGUAACGGCCCACCAAGGCGAUGAUCAGUAGCCGGUCUGGUGGGAUUGACGGCCACAUUGGGACUGGUGCACGGCCCAGACUCCUACGGGAGGGCGCAGUGGGGAAUCUUCCGCAAUGGACGAAAGUCUGACGGAGCAACGCCGCGUGAGUGAUGACGGCCUUCGGGUUGUAAAGCUCUGUUAAUCGGGACGCGGUACCGGAAUAGAAAGCCACGGCUAACUACGUGCCAGCAGCCGCGGUAAUUC